rnacentral:miRNA from 3 species
UCUGGCUGUUGUGGUGUGCAA